UCCGGGCAGGUAUUGCAGCGGAAAUCCUUUUGUGGCGCGAAGCGGAGCAAAAGAUUGCAGCGAAAAGCCCGGCCGAGC
rnacentral:sRNA from 1 species